CCCUCCGCUCCCUGUGAGGAGCUGCAGCCGCCAUCAGGCCUCCCCUCAGCCUGCUCUGCUCUGGGCUGCAAGCGCAGGUCCCCUUUCUGCACAAAUGUGGGCAUUUAACCUUAUGCACAGGGCAGUAAUAGGAGAGAGCAUCCUUCCAGCUCAUCUGCAUACCAUUAGGAAGGCUCGUCUGCAUACCAUUAGGAAGGUGCUCAAACAGAGCAGGAUGCAUGAAGGCCAGCUGACCCAGAGCUCACCUCCCAGGUUCCCUCUUUGCACAAAUCCACCAACCCUUCCACUCGGUCUGGAAUAGCAAGGACAGAAUGGAGAGAGGCUAUUUCCUCUUUAUGUGUGUAACAAAAGUACAUUUUGGGUGAGUAAAAUGUGAAAUUCUGCUGUCCGAUAGACUCGCCCUGGCCAGAAACCACAAUGAGUCCCCUCCAUACGUAGUGGCACACACAGACUGUGCACACAGGUUUCAGCUUGCUGCAAGCACCUUGCUGGAGCCUGUGACAGUGAAGCCACACUGUACCUGGCCAAGAUUUCUUUCUAGGACUGAUCCACAUUCUGGAACGUGGAGUCUCCCAGGCAGCUGGAUAUAGGUGGUCGGGUAGAUUUUGGUUACCCAAGCAACUCACGUGUUAUGAUUCCUAAACAACCAAGAUGUUGGAAGGCUGGGGGCACUCAAGGGAAAUGGCUAUGGAAAAUACAAACAGUUUUCCAGCCACGCAGACACACUGUGGUAAGAUAUAUUUAUUGAACUACUUCCAACUCCUCAUUGUUCUCUGGCUGGCCAACAGAUUAUCAACUACCAGACCAGAUAUUCUGUUCUAUUUUCUUUAUUAAAUUCUCAUACUAGCAAAGGAAGACCUUGCCCUGAAAUAGGGCAAGCGAGCUGCCAGCCAGCCAUGCCCCGCAGUGCAUAACGCAGUGAGUGGUGUAGUACUCCUCAGAUGUGCUGCCUGCAAUCAGCCAUUCCCAGGUUCCAGGGGUUUCCUUUGGCUGAAGGAGCUGUGAAACGUCUGGGAUUAAAAAAUGGGACGAUGAUGAUGAUUGCUGAAAGCCAAGGGCAUCAGAUGCUGAUGCUGAUGGCACACCAGCCAGCGCUGUUUCAGGGACAUCGUUUUUCUUCAGAGGGCAAUGAGGCACUGGCACAGCUGCCCAGAGAGCUGUGGAUGCCCCGUCCAUCCCUGGAGGUGUUCAAGGCCAGGUUGGAUGGGCCCUGGGUAGCCUGAG